UUCUCCAGCUCAGUGGUUAGAGCACUCGCCUCAUAAGCGAGAGGACCUGGGUUUGAUUCCCAGCCGGACAAA